rnacentral:lncRNA from 1 species
AGCAUGCAAUCCACAUCAUCAUUCCUCAUCAAUGAAAUUCACACAUCACAUCACAAUUUUUACCAAUUAAAUCUCGUCCUAGAACCGUAAAUGCUCUGAUACCAAAUUGAAAGAACCCAUCCCAUUUUUUUUUCUUUUAAACAUGCAAACCGGAUUAACCCAAUUAAUUCGAACCAGCUAAACCGGCCAUAAUAAUUUAAAUCAAUUAAACCAAGCAAUCUCAUUAAAGUAAACCAACAAUAUUAACC